UGUACUGUGUUUGUGCCAUCCUGGUCAGGAACCCCCCUGAGGCUGAAAGGGGAGUCCAUUUAUUUUACGUUGCUGGAGUCCCACCUGUGCAGCUGGGGCCGAGAUCAGCAGAAAAAGAAGGCUGCCAAAAAGGAAGCUGUGACGGACACUGAGAAGCUCCAGGGCUGGUCACGUUUGUGCCACGAGGAUCCUGGAGGUGUUGAGAGCAGGCAGGGCACUGGAUGGUUCUUUUGAACUUUUCGUAUAAACUCGUAGUGAAUACUGAAGUACAGCUGGAGCAGUUCCCUCCUGAAGCAGGAUCCAGGAUUCUCAGCCGUGCUUCAGCCGGGGUCCCCAGGGAUGCCCCCAAAGAAGGAGCAGGGACUGGCAUGUUGUAUCAGGACCUGUCUGACCCAGGAAUCUGGAACACAUUAAAUCAAACCCUUGGCAUCACUGUGACUGACCACAAGUGCCUUGCUUGGCUGCUCAGCUUCUUUUUUCAACGUGUCAAAACUGGUAAGUUUUUCAAGAAGCUUUUUCUGUGAUUGAAGGGACACUGCAGGAACCUGCCUCUCCCUCUGACCGAAAAUCUCUUCUCAAUUUGGUUCUCAUUUCUUUCUCUUACAUUUGAAACUUUUUUUUUUUUUUUUAAGAAUUAAUUUG
rnacentral:lncRNA from 1 species